CAGUCGCCACGGUAAUACGUAGGGUGCGAGCGUUAAUCGGAAUUACUGGGCGUAAAGCGUGCGCAGGCGGUUAUAUAAGACAGAUGUGAAAUCCCCGGGCUCAACCUGGGACCUGCAUUUGUGACUGUAUAGCUAGAGUACGGUAGAGGGGGAUGGAAUUCCGCGUGUAGCAGUGAAAUGCGUAGAUAUGCGGAGGAACACCAAUGGCGAAGGCAAUCCCCUGGACCUGUACUGACGCUCAUGCACGAAAGCGUGGGGAGCAAACAGGAUUAGAUACCCCAGUAGUCCCUGUCUCUUAUAC
rnacentral:rRNA from 1 species